rnacentral:rRNA from 1 species
CAGCCGCCGCGGGAAUACAGAGGGUGCGAGCGUUAAUCGGAUUUACUGGGCGUAAAGCGUGCGUAGGCGGCUUUUUAAGUCGGAUGUGAAAUCCCUGAGCUUAACUUAUGAAUUGCAUUCGAUACUGGGAAGCUAGAGUAUGGGAGAGGAUGGUAGAAUUCCAGGUGUAGCGGUGAAAUGCGUAGAGAUGUGGAGGAAUACCGAUGGCGAAGGCAGCCCCCUGGGCCAAUACUGACGCUCAUGCACGAAAGCGUGGGGAGCAAACAGGAUUAGAUACCCCAGUAGUCCCUGUCUCUUAUAC